GCUUCUUUAAUGAUCAAGGUUUAAUUUGUUGUAGUACCUGUAGAAUUACUUCUUGUUGUUUGGAUGCUGUAAGAUAUUUCUACUCUCCUAUGUCUUUGCUUUGUUUUUUCAUUUUUCGUUUUAUGUAUUCAUCAAUUUUUUCAUCAAAUUUAAUUAGGAUACUUUGUACCUGGGUACGGAUUAUCUACUUUUCGAUGUAACUUAUCACUUAGAGCUUGAUAUCUAUAUCUAUAUCUAUAUAAUUGCAAGACUUGAGCCCGCUGACAUGGCAGCCUCACAAUCCAGGAUUCUUAUUUUUUUUUUCUCAGAUUUUUGGACUUUUUACUUAAAAAUUACCAACUUCUACGCUGCUUAAGAAAACCCAACCAGUCACCUCUUACAUUAACACCCUAAAAAAGAAAAGGUACCUUUUUAUUAUUCGUAAUUGCUCUUACUGUAUUCCUCUUCGUUUUUUCUUGUUCUUCCCACAAUCCAUAUCCAUGGGCCAUGCUACCGUUGCCAAUCAAGAGGAACAACUGUACUUACCAGAUUCUAUCAAAUUCUACAAAAUCGGGCCAGUUCUUAAAGGAGUUGCGGAUGUUAACUACCUUUUAAUUCUCUGUCUUUAUUGAAAUUCAAUUCACCAUCUUGAACAAAUUUACAUCACAGAUGUUUACUGCAUGUACGGCAACGAUCGGAUACUUUCAGCAUCUGUGCCUUCAGUUGCCGCAAAAUGCCCUCGGAACAAUUACAGUACCUGCAUAUACUCUCAUGCUCCCUUUGAAGUGAUUAGUUUUUGUUAAUUCAUUUUAUGUCGUUGUUCUCUUCCGAAAAAGCUAGGGUCUCUUCUUUUACUCAGUAGAAGACUAAAUUCUGUUAGCUUUCUUGUACUUUGCUGGGAUUAGAAUAUCAAUUGAAGAAAAGAAUGACCUUUUAAAGGAUAUCUGAACAAGUAAGAGGAAGGAGUGAAAAUGCGGCUUUUGAUAUAUAGUAGUAGUACCUUUAUAAGCUGAUAUCUUUUUUAAAGUGCUUCUCUGAUUCUGAAAAGUGGGUUGGUUAAGCAAAGGUCUGACUUUGACGGUAAAAAAUGACCAUGAAAGAUUACCCAGUUCAUUUUCAUAUUAUGGAAAUGGAUUUGAUCUUUAAGACAAAUAUGGCCAUAGAAAAAUCACAAAAGUUUUGAAGCAAAGGUUGAGAAGAAAAGAUUUGAUUUUAGGCCAAAGGUGACCACCUAAAAGAUUAGACAGUUCAUUCUCGAAAUUAUCAAAAGAGGUUCUUCUGUGAUGUAAGUUGGUUAAUUAAAGGUUUGCUUUUUAGGACAAAUAUGAUAUAAAAAGAUUAGAACAGUUUGUUCCUUAAAUUUCUCAAAUGGGUACUUAUGUCUUAUGUUACAUCGGUUUGUUAAUCAAAGAUAAAUAUUUAGGCAAACAUGGCCAAAGAAUGGUAGUUGUGUCAUGUGGUUUAGUUAAGCAAAUUUUUUAUUCUCAGGGCAAACAUGGCCAUAGAAAGUACUACAUCAGUUUUCAUUGUUGAUUUUUUUGAAACGAGCAUAUAACUGUGGUAGUAUGGUAGGCUGAACAUGUAUGUUUCCGUGUAUGUUACUCUGAAGAAACGGUUUGUUUUAGUAUGACAUGAUUAUUAAGGUGUAGGAGUACAAUGUCAUUAGCUGCUCCAUAGACAACAGAUAUUAUAGUGUCUCCCCAGUCAGACACAUUUUCGAAGCAUCUAAAUAAUGCAAAGAGCCGGAAGCUGCUUUGAAAAGAAAGAAUUUUUGGACAGUGAAAAGCACAUUUUCUUGGACAGAAAUGAUCAGAAAACUGAAUUUCCUGGCAGCGGAAGGUCAAAGUAUGGAGACAUACUUCUCAUUUCAAGUCUCAAACUCAUAAACAAAAGCUUAUAACCAGCGUAGACGAUGAUGUCGAGUGGGUUAUGAUUAGAUUUAUCCACACCUCUCUGUUGCAUUUACAACUCAAAUUAAAAUGCAACUUUCAACCCAUGGAAAAUGGAUAAAAUAAGAUAAGGAAGGAAGAUGAAGUUAAUUUAAGAUUUUGUGCUUGAAGGUGGUAUAGGCAAGAUGGUGAAAGAAUUGCAGUUCAAAUACUAGCUUCACAGUUAGAAUGUUAAAUGACUUAUCUCUCUCUAUCUGAUCGUUAUUUAUUUGAUGUCAACUACUAUUAGCUCACUGUACUGAUCUGACAUGCAACCUGAUUUUUUCAAUUGGUGUUGAUGAGUCUGAGUGACUUAUUAGAUGGAUAAAACAUUCAUCUCCUUAGUUAUCUACGGGCAUCCGGCAUAGAGCUUUGUGAGCAUUGAUUUCACUUAGAGAAAGAUGUGUGAACAAACAUACAAUGAAACAAUUAGACCUUUGUUGAUACACAUGAAUUCUCUUUCCAACCAUUGAAGCUAAGAAAAGAGGCCCUUAGACUGAUGCAAAGAGAGCUACUUUCUGAUGCAUGUUUUUGUACUAUGCAGACCACUUACGGCUGUAGAACUAAAGAAGAAGCUCCCAGGAAGAAAGUUUACACGCAAUGUUGCUAAUGCUGUAAUUACAUAUUUCCAUACCAGGUGACUAGAGUAGUUGUGAAGUUUGACGAGGCUAUUAACUAUGUGCAAUCCCUCCACCGCUGAGUUGAGGCCUUAUCAGGAUGGCCCAUCUGGUAUUUUGCUCCUCCUUAUUCUUCUUCCUCAGGCAUUUCCCUUCGCUUCGUUCAUGGCAAGCUUAAUAUCCUUCCGAGAUAUUUAAUAAAUAACAUUCUGAAAUAAGUAUUGGAUCACUCACUUAUUCAGAUCUGUAUUGUUCACUUGAGAUCUUAUUGGAUCUGAAUUUCAUCAUCGUCGUAUUUCUUGAGGGAUUUUCACAGAUUUCUCAAAAACUGUGAGAAGUUUAUAGACGCUUCUUUCAUGGGGCUGCUUUUGGCUUCAAAAUGUUUUAUGUCCUUGAAUUCUUACUUCAAAAAAAAAAAAAAAAAAAAAAAAAAACUGUUACUUCCUUGCCUAUAUUGUUUAAUCUUUGGAUUAUUCUAUCAUUUUAGUGUCAUCAUGCUGGAAUUAUGGACUACUUUAUGCACCGAUGCAUCAUUUCCUCGAAUUUUUAAAUGUUAAUCAGGUCAACCCACUUGACACUAUUUACAGCAGCUUGGUUGAUGCUCUUCCAGUGGUAUGCAUCUCUCACUUUUAACUUGGCCUUUCUUUUCUCAUUUUGCUAAGCAGUUUAUUGUUAUCGGGAAUGAAUCCAUUUGAGGUUGAUAACUUUUAAUCUGGUGCUUUAUUUGUCAUUGAAAUAAACUAUAAAUGUAGCUUAUACAGUCACCACUUCGUACAGAGAUCAACAUAUCAAAGCAGUCUAUUCUUACUUUUCUUUUGAUGGAGAGAAAGUAUCUACAAUUGGGAUAAUCUUUAUUCGCAGCCAUAAAAGUGUCCCGGCAGUCAUUAAGCACUUCAAAAUUCAAAUGCAUUCGCUAUUUGUCAUUGGGCCAUAGCAUGUUGAAAUAGUUCGGUGCUUCUUAAUAAAGAUAACAAAGAAGUUUGCCGGAACGCCACAAAGUAUCGGGAAUGUGCCAACUCCUGAUGCAACGUCCCAUUGAUAGUUUCAUCAACAGCUUCUUAAUAAAGAUAAUAAAGAGUUAUUUCAGAACACCACAAAGUUACGGGAAUCGACAAAUCCCUUAUGCAACGUCCAUUGAUAGUUUUGUUGACAACACAAAAGUAAACAUUGUAGAAGGAAAAAAUAAUAUGACAGUGAAAGCUACUGCUUUGAUCCUCCUCGCCCAUCUGUUUUUAAGAGUUUCCCUGCUUCCUUCUACCUUUCUGAUUGCUUUUCUUUUUGUAGGCUCUUUCCUAUUCCGACAGCAAUGAUGAGAAAGAUGGUCAGCUUCUCAAUAUUUUACACCGUUUACUAUGAGAAUUAUUCUGGCUAAAAGGACGGAAAUCUAUUAGAAGCAACUAAAGUACAAACCUUUUAAUUCCGGUGAAAGAAACUGCUAAAGUCAUAUAAUGGAGUUAAGAAUGUUGUCAAACUUGCCACUAUUUCCUCUUGGUGUAUAUUUGCUAAUAGGACAAUAACUCUUUUGAUGAUCUCCAAUUUUUCUCUGGUUAGGAUCUUCUCCUUAUGCGUAUUCUUUUUCUAUAUCAUUUACAUCCUGGUAUUUCUUUGUAGUCAGUGGCUUAACCAACAUAGUUUAAGCUGACCAAAUUUGAGAGGGGCCACACGGCUAGAGUACUUCAGCAUGUACUGUACAAUGUAGAGAGAUACACGUUUGACCGCAACGUUAGCAAACAUCGUUCCAGAAAAAAAACAGAAUUACUCGUGCAAGGCCGUUUGAACUUAUUCUUAAGAAGUUAUGCUUUGUGCAUCUUCUAAAAUGGUACAUACUUGCCUGGAGAACUUCCAUAUUAGAUAAUUAUGUUGGUAGAUAGUACAUCCCUAAGCACCCAAAUGAUGGUUAAGAUCUAUCUUCUUUUUAGUGGCACAACUAAUAAUCCUUUUGCCACCAUAGGGUUGAAUUCGUCCAUUAAGUAGCAGAAGGCGAAGGAAACAUAAACCUAGAUGCAUAAUACUCUAACACGACUAAUCUGAACCCUCUUAUUGUAUAUUUUGCCUUUUCAACAGAUGAUCACUUAUUUCCCUGUUUAACUCAUAUUAAAAAAUCCAAAAGUUGUCUACAUUUAUUUUCAUUCAAGAAAAUGAAAGAUGAAAGGUCUUUAACUUUCUAGGCCUUUAAUUUUCCCCGAAUAGUUACACCCAUUAACAAGUAGUAGCUGCUGGUAAAAAUGCAGCCACAUAUAAACAAAAUAGAAGCAGCAGCCAACGGAUACUAUCAUUUUAAUGUUUAGACGUAGUUCGAUCAAUCCACGGCAGGCUUUUGAGCUGGCAGAUCACAUGCAACGUCUUUUAAGAGCCACUCAAUGGUGUUGAUAUAUUACGCAAGCCAUUUUCAAAGUUGGUGGUGAGAAUAUCUAUUUCCUUUUGUAUAUACACUUUUUCCAAAAGAAAUGUAUUAGAGGACAAUAUCUUCCCAUGGAUAAAGUUAACUGGUACCUGUUGUUAAUGGGAGAUGGUAGAUAUCUCGUGGAAUUAGUCAUGCACGCAAGCUAACUCAAACACCAUAAUGAUAAAAAAUAUAUGUAUUAGAAGACAUGGUUGUCUAUGAAGUGUGAACUAUGAACAUUAGAGGGAAUUUCUUCUUUAGUCGUCUUCUUCCUUUUUUACUUCAUUAGUAGAAAUUGGAAAGUGAAUUUUUCUGUGUGUGUAAAUUGGCGAGACCACUGUUCAUGCUUAUCGCUUUAUGUAUGGUCAGCAGGUUUGUGUGAAUUUGUAAUUAGGCUUUCCAUUAUGCCAGGGAGGAUCUGACGCCAAAUAGGGUCGCUUCAGUGCCUUCGGAAGACAGUACCAGAGUUUCGUUGCCGCUACUCCGGCUGGUGGUGGCGUCAGUGCUUUAUGUGUGGCUGAGGAGAAAAAGGAAGCAGAGUUUGCUUCAAUAUUUCUUGAUAUAUAAUUCCAUAAAGCACAAUAAAUGUGAUCAUGAGGAGAAAAUCAGGAAUUUAUGGUUGGAUAGGCAUGAGAGAGUGAGAGAAUCGUGAAUUUGCAGAGAGAAAGAAAAAAUGUGGAAAGAGGUAAAAAAGAGCUGAAUAUUUCUUUCCAACUGGAUAUGGAUUUUUAUUUUUAUUUUUUUUAAUUAUCCUUUUUUAGUUUCAUUCUUACUUUCCUUUUGAACUAUGGGAAAACUAAGAAUUUUACUUUGUGCAUGGUUUAUUAUCCAUGUAAUUUUCUUGCAUGAUUUACGUUUUUGCAAAUUUUGACAGAAUCAUGAAAAGAAACCGCGAUUGAAUCAAGGGCCAUCAAUCUCCUCCAAGCAAACUAUGAUCUAAUGUUUUUUUUACCUCAUCAAUUCUAAUGUAAUGUUUAAUUUAUUUAUUUUUUAUUGUCUUCCUUUUUUCCCUUUUUAAGUUAGCUAAAUUUAAAUUACUAGACGGCCAAGAUGAAGGUGUAAUGACUUAAUUUAUAAUAAGCUAAGGAAGUAACACUGUUGUUUCUACAUGUAAAAACAAUUAUUAGCCACCAUGUAUACUGCAGCUUUUCAGUAUUAUUUCUUUUUUAUGUUUCAUCCUUUAUUUUUUCAUUUUUUCUUCAAAUUUAAAUUGCUAAUUUAGUUGGUUGUUUCAUAUUUAUAUUGAAGGGAAAUGUUUUCUACAAAUCCUUUUAGAAA